GAUAGUAGAUAGAUUUCAUAUUUGGAUCAAUUGAAUCGAAUUAGGAAGGAAUGGGAAAGUAUGGAUUGUAUGUAUGUUAGGGGAGUGGAUAAUCAACAACUAGAAGGGAAUGUUGGGAAUCAAAGCUGCGAAUUUUGAAUCUUGUUAGGAUAUUAUCGGAAACGGCUAUAGUAGAAAAGUGUAAAUAGGUGAAACUUUACUCCGUAACAAAAACGUGUAACAAGGUUUAACUUUGAAUGGUUAUUUUUUUUUUGUACAACAGACAAUGGGUUAUUUUUCUACAAACAUACACUUCGACAAUGAUGAACAUUAUACGAAAUCUGGAGAUGAUUAUGAAUGGAUUCCAAGUGAGGGUCAUUUGUAUGCUAUAUCCGUUAAGACAUCAUCAUUGGAUGAGAUCACUUAUUCGUUUUUGAAGGAGAGGAUAUGCAAGAAGAUGACCCAUUUUCCGUGUACGAAGAGUCUGAAACUGAGUUACAUUCCACUGGUAGUAGAACCUAAGAGACAAACAUGUAUUUUGGAUGAUGAAGAUGUGUUUGUGUAUUUGACAUUAGUGGAUAAACAGGAAAGAAGAAGUAUUUUGCAUGUAGAGGUCAUUGAAGAAAUGGAAAUAGUUCCAAUAACGGAGCAACAAUCAAGAGUUGAGAAAGAAAGCUCAUAUGGUGGGAACUAUAGUGAGCUUGUGAUUGGGUUACCAUAAAUUGAAGGUAAUUCGGGUGCACUCACUCUGUUUACUCCUAUUGAAGAAGCAGAACAAUAUCUAGAGGGGAUUGAGCAGGUGGAGAAUGUUGUCAAAGAUUUAAUUGAUAGAGGAUCACAACAAACAAAUUUUGAAAUCAGUAUCGUGAACUCGGAUAAGAGUCAAUAUGUGGUGAAAUGUCGGGGAGCGAAUAAAGGUUGUAAAUGGGUUGUCAGAGCUACGAGGAUAAGGAAUUCUGAAGCGUCCUCGAUUAGAACAUAUAUAAAGAUGCAUUCAUGGUCUCGUGCAACUUCAAGUACUGGAAUCAUAAGGAAAGCUACACCAAGAUAUGUUGCAGCUGUAGUGCAUAGUGAUUAUCCGGAACUAUUUGAUACACCAACUCCAAAAACCCUGGUUGGACUGGUGCAAAGGAGAUUGGGUGUCGAAGUGUCGUAUGUGACGGUUUGGAGAGGAAAAAAACAAGCUGUUGAGGAUAUGCGCAGUAGUCCUGAGGAAUGAUACAAUAAAGUGCCUUCUUAUUUGUAUAUGUUAGAGAAAGUGAACCCGGAUUCAAAAACAAGUUUGUUAUUGGAUGGAGAAAAAAGGUUCAAAUACCUAUUUUUGCGUUGGGAGCUUCCAUUGAAGGGUUUCAGUACAUGAAAAAAGUCAUCACUGUGGAUGCAACUUUUCUGAAGAUUGUUCAGGGUGGUGUUUUAAUUAUUGCCAUGGCUCAGGAUCCAAACCGUCACCAUUAUCCUAUAGGUUUUAGUGUCGUUGAUGGGGAGAAAAAUAAAAGUUGGAACUGGCUUUUCACAACGUUGAAAACUGUUAUACCGGAUUCGAAUGAAUUGGUGUUUGUUUCAGACAGAAAUACAAGUCUGAUAAAAGCCGUUGCUGAAGUGUAUCUGAUGGCUAAACAUGGUAUUGUAUCUGGCAUCUAUCACACAACGUGAAACUUCAUUUCAAACAUGGGAGGGACGAGGUUGCACUACAAUUCAGGAAAAUUGCACAAGUUUAUUGAUAGACUAUGUAUUUGACCCAUUUUCAUCCAUAGUUUAUAGGUGUUUUUACUAAUAAUUAUAUUAUUGUAGAGUCUAUUUAUUAUAUUUACUAGAGCCGGGGUCCGCGCUUCGUGCGGAUAAUAUAUUUUAUUAAAGUAAAUUUUAUAUUUUUGUAGUUUUAAGUAUCAGAUAUUGGAAGUUAAGUUUUGUUCGUUGUAGAAUUAACCAUAGAGUUUUUGUUUGAAUGCGAUGCGGUGAUCAGUUUCUGUUUUCUAAACAAUAGUAAGUUUGAAAAAUAUAUGGUUAUUUGCAUUGAAGUGCAAAUUUUAAAACAGUUGACUAGUGUCGGUUUCCGUCUUGUGGUUUGAUCCCAUGUGGAGGUAUGCCAUCAGGCUUAGGAUAGCAGUUUAUUCCUCUUUUGAAAGCGUUGUAUGAUAUCUAUGUCAUUGUCAAAGUAAAAUCGCGAUCGUGGUGUGGUUGUGAGUGAUAGUUUCCCUGAAAACUGAAAUAUUUGUAAGCAUUUAAUUAGAUAUAAACUUUAUAUGUUUAGUUGAUUACCUUCAUGUAACCUUGGAAUGAUACUUGUGAUGAUUACGAUUUGGUUUUUCCUGGUAGAUAUGCGAUUUAACUCCCUGAAAUUAGCCGCCUCAUUGUCCCAUAUAGUUAGACGGACCAAUUUGGAUCUACAAAAAAUUAUUGUAUUAUAUAUUUAUUGCUUAACGCAAUCCAAUGAUGAUUUUUGUAUCUGUGUUGUGGUUAUAUAAAUCACUUCCUUGGAUGAGGCAUAUGCGGCCAACAACAUCUGUGAGAAUAAUUUGUUUUUAGCGACAAAAAUAGAGAAUUUAUUUGUAUGUGUGAUAGGUAUGGUUUUUUUUUGACAUGGGAGGAAGUUGGUUGCACUUUCUAAGCUGAUCAACUGGGGAUAGCGUUGGGGCCGGAAAAUGUAUGAAGGAAUCAGUGAAAUGUUUCCUUGAAUCAGUGUUAUAAUUGUUGUCUCAUUGAUAUUGAUUAUGUAUGGUUGAACGGUAAGCAUGUACCGUCGGUUAUUCGGAAGAAGAUUAAAAUAUCUAAUGUGAUAAAUUUUCCCUUCCUUGAACCGUUGGUACAUUGUGUCAGACGUAGAAAUAGGCACCCGCCCUUCCAUUUUUUGUUCAUGUUGAGUGCUUAAAAGCAAUUAUUUGAAAUGUUGUUGGAAUAAUUAAAAGUAAGUAUUUUUUAGACAAACCUAGAUGUCAAGAUAAAUGAAAGUUCUUCCUAGGAAAGCAUUUUUAUUUGUGUGAUUUGUGAUGGGCCACAUCCUAAUGAUCCUAGCAAUAAUUGGUUGCGGUCCGAGGUUGUCGCUCCACUUGUUGUGAACUUCGGCUAGAAUUACAAAAAUAUAAAUUGAAAACAAAAAUAGAGAAAAAUUGAAAUUAAAAAAAUCAACUAAAAAA